GGGCGCUUGGUCUAGGGGUAUGAUUUUCGCUUCGCAUCAUCCACUGAGCUCCUUCGAGAGCUUCAGAAAUACUGGAUCAUGAGUGUGUGAAAGGUCGGGGGUUCAAUUCCCCCAGCGUCCA